rnacentral:rRNA from 1 species
UUCCGGUUGAUCCUGCCGGACCCGACUGCUAUUUGGGUGAGAAUAAGCCAUGCGAGUCGAAUGGGAUUCCUAAAUUUCCCAUGGCAGACUGCUCAGUAACACAUGAUCAACUUACCCUAUAGAGAAAGAUAACCUCGGGAAACUGAGGAUAAUAUUUCAUAGUUGAAUCGGCUUGGAAAAGUUUUUCAAUUAAAGGAAUAAGAUAAAUGGUUCUUAUUUGCUAUAGGAUAGGAUCGUGGACGAUUACGGUUGUUGGUGAGGUAACGGCUCACCAAGCCGAUAAUCGAUAGGGGCCGUGAGAGCGGGAGCCCCGAGAUGGGUACUGAGACAACGACCCAGGCCUUACGAGGCGCAGCAGGCGCGGAACCUCCGCAAUACACGAAAGUGUGACGGGGUUACCCAAAGUGUUCAAUCUUGAACUGUGGUAGGUGAGUAAUGUUCCCUACUAGAAAGGAGAGGGCAAGGCUGGUGCCAGCCGCCGCGGUAAAACCAGCUCUUCAAGUGGUCGGGAUAAUUAUUGGGCUUAAAGUGUCCGUAGCCGGCUUAGUAAGUUCCUGGUAAAAUCGGGUAGCUUAACUAUCUGUAUGCUAGGAAUACUGCUAAACUAGAGGGCGGGAGAGGUCUGAGGUACUACAGGGGUAGGGGUGAAAUCUUAUAAUCCUUGUAGGACCGCCAGUGGCGAAGGCGUCAGACUGGAACGUGCCCGACGGUGAGGGACGAAAGCCAGGGGAGCGAACCGGAUUAGAUACCCGGGUAGUCCUGGCCGUAAACGAUGCAUACUAGGUGAUGGCGUGGCCAUGAGCCGUGUCAGUGCCGUAGGGAAACCGUUAAGUGUGCCGCCUGGGAAGUACGGUCGCAAGGCUAAAACUUAAAGGAAUUGGCGGGGGAGCAC